GAUGAAGAACGUAGCGAAAUGCGAUAAGUAGUGUGAAUUGCAGAAUUCCGUGAAUCAUCGAAUCUUUGAACGCACAUUGCGCCCCUUGGUAUUCCAUGGGGCAUGCCUGUUCGAGCGUCAUUUGUACCUUCAAGCUUUGCUUGGUGUUGGGUGUUUGUCUCGCCUUUGCGUGUAGACUCGCCUUAAAAUAAUUGGCAGCCGGCGUAUUGAUUUCGGAGCGCAGUACAUCUCGCGCUUUGCACUCAUAACGACAGCGUCCAAAAGUACAUUUUACACUCUUGACCUCGGAUCAGGUAGGGAUACCCGCUGAACUUAAGCAUAUCAAUAAGCGGAGGA
rnacentral:misc_RNA from 1 species